rnacentral:lncRNA from 1 species
AGAAGUUCAAGGUCCCUUGUUUGCUGCAUAAUGAGUUAAAUAGCAACCUGAGAUACAUGAGGCACAAAGGGUCUACAAACCAGCAUUAAUAACAAAAAUUCUACAUUUACUCAGUCUGCAUCUAUGUAUUUUACCCCACAAACUGACACAAAGAUGACUGAUAUUCUAAAAAAACAGGAAUACUAUACUAAUAUGUGGCUGUUUGCUGUGCAUUACCAAGGUCCACCUGGUACAGAAGGUCCUCGUGGCCCCCCUGGAAAUGGAGGUAUUAAAGGAGAGAGGGGAAAUCCAGGUCCACCUGGGCAACCAGGCUUACCUGGCUUGAAAGGAGAUCAAGGACCACCAGGCCUUCCGGGUAACCCUGGCCGACCAGGUCUUAAUGGAAUGAAAGGAGAUCCUGGUCUCCCUGGUG